GUGCGCAGAUCGGCGUUCGCGGCUGGCGGCCGCUGAGCCCUGGAGCACUUGGAGCAUUUGGUCCUUGCCGCCUGGAUGCCAUGAGUUGCUAAAAGUGAGCCUGGCUUUAGAGCUGCCUUGGGGUGCGGCGUGGGGGGCACAGAGCCAUGUCGGACCUGCUACUCCUGGGCCUGAUUGGGGGCCUGACGCUGCUGCUG